UUCCUGAUGGUCUAGUGGUUAAGACUCCAAGCUCCCAAUACAGGGGCUCCAGGUUUGAUCCCUGGUCUGGGAA
rnacentral:tRNA from 1 species